rnacentral:rRNA from 1 species
AGCAGUGGGGAAUCUUGCGCAAUGGGCGAAAGCCUGACGCAGCCAUGCCGCGUGUAUGAUGAAGGUCUUAGGAUUGUAAAAUUCUUUCACCGGGGAAGAUAAUGACUGUAGCCGGAGAAGAAGCCCCGGCUAACUUCGUGCCAGCAGCCGCGGUAAUACGAAGGGGGCUAGCGUUGCUCGGAAUUACUGGGCGUAAAGCGCGCGUAGGUGGUUCGUUAAGUUGGAUGUGAAAGCCCCGGGCUCAACCUGGGAACUGCAUCCAAAACUGGCGAGCUAGAGUACGGUAGAGGGUGGUGGAAUUUCCUGUGUAGCGGUGAAAUGCGUAGAUAUAGGAAGGAACACCAGUGGCGAAGGCGACCACCUGGACUGAUACUGACACUGAGGUGCGAAAGCGUGGGGAGCAAACAGGAUUAGAUACCCCGGUAG